rnacentral:misc_RNA from 1 species
AAACAGUCGGCUCAGUCAAGCCUGGCCGAGCGCGUGCAACCGCGCCGGGCCUGACUCGCGGUGUUUUGAGGUUCGUGCUGGCCUGUCUCUUGCAAUACAGCGAACCAAACAAACACUGCAUUUUGUAUAUGCAGAUACAAUUGCAUCCACAGGGAAGGGAACCAAACACAUGGAGAAUGAAGGUCUGGUGCCGGUCACCUGAGCUGCUCCCGGCAGUAGUGGAUCUCCAUGUUGAAGAGCCGGUUGUCUUUGGAGAGGAUGGGAGUUGGACUCCUCGCACGUUGGCGUUCCCUGUUUCGGUG